GAUGAACGCUGGCGGCGUGCUUAACACAUGCAAGUCGAACGGAAAGGCCAGUGCUUGCACUGGUACUCGAGUGGCGAACGGGUGAGUAACACGUGGGUGAUCUGCCCUGCACUUCGGGAUAAGCCUGGGAAACUGGGUCUAAUACCGGAUAGGACAAUGGUUUGGAUGCCGUUGUGGAAAGUUUUUUCGGUGUGGGAUGAGCUCGCGGCCUAUCAGCUUGUUGGUGGGGUAAUGGCCUACCAAGGCGUCGACGGGUAGCCGGCCUGAGAGGGUGUACGGCCACAUUGGGACUGAGAUACGGCCCAGACUCCUACGGGAGGCAGCAGUGGGGAAUAUUGCACAAUGGGCGCAAGCCUGAUGCAGCGACGCCGCGUGGGGGAUGACGGCCUUCGGGUUGUAAACUCCUUCCGCUAGGGACGAAGCGUAUUUGUGACGGUACCUGGAGAAGAAGCACCGGCUAACUACGUG
rnacentral:rRNA from 1 species